rnacentral:tRNA from 1 species
AGAAAUUUAGGUUACACAACUUUUAAACCAAGAGACUUCAAAUCUCUAWACMAGGGGACAGCCCUAAUUUCUG